rnacentral:rRNA from 1 species
AUAUUUAAGUUGUUGCAGUUAAAAAGCUCGUAGUUGGAUCUUGGGUCGUAAGGGUCGGUCCGCCUACUCGGUGUGCACCUGCCCUUCCGUCCCUUUUGUCGGCGGCGUGCUCCUGGCCUUAAUUGGCUGGGUCGCGGUUCCGGCGCUGUUACUUUGAAAAAAUUAGAGUGCUCAAAGCAAGCUUACGCUCUGAAUACAUUAGCAUGGAAUAACACGAUAGGACUCUGGCCUAUCUUGUUGGUCUGUAGGACUGGAGUAAUGAUUAAGAGGGACAGUCGGGGGCAUUCGUAUUUCAUUGUCA